rnacentral:lncRNA from 1 species
AUGGUGUCUAAUUAGAAAGUGAUCUGCAAACUGUUAGUGGUGUGGUGGCGCUCUUGGAAUAAAGCAGACAUCCAGGACAAACGCCAGGAGAGGAGAGCCUGAUGACACACUCCCGCUUCUGAUGUGUCCAGCAUUGAAGUUUAGCUAGGAGGAUUCCUUGGGCUACUACUCUUUUCCCUUUCCACCCUGACCUGUUUUUUAUCUCACAGUUUACUGUCCCUACGGCUGUGCUUAUGUAGCCAUCCAUGGGACUACAGGGAGAAUCAGAUCGGUAGAAGGAUGCUUUAUCAUGCAUUGCUCAAGUUAGAAUUCUAAAAUAAUAUAUAUUCGAGAAGACACCUGAAGAUCAUCUGGUCCAAUUUCAUGCCUAACUUCAAAACUAGAGAAAGUUUCAAGUUUAGAUUGGGUUGUUCAGGAACUUGUCCGGUUGAAUUUUGAAAAUCUCCCAUCUUCCAUAACUUCUCUCAGGCUCUAUUCCAGUGACUGAACACUCAUUUGGAAGAAUUUUCUCCUUCUAUCUAGGAGAUAUCCCUGCUGUAACCUGUGUCUGUUGCUGGCCGUCUGCAUGCCUCUAAGAAGAGCCAUAGUCCGUUUUCUGCAUAACCACCCAUGAGGUCACUAAGACAGCCCCUGCAGCCUCUGCUCCAGGCUGAAUAAACACAACUCUCAGGCUCUGUCUGUAUGUUAAGUACUUCAGGACUGCAAGCAGUAGCUGGGUCUCUGUAGGAACCCAUCAGUAUCUUUCUUGAGCUUGGAUCCCACUCAAGCCUCCAAACAUGGAGGUGGUGAAUACAGACUAUAACCACUUCCUCAGCCCUUGAAGGAAGAUAGUCUUCAGCUGCACUGACAGAAAUGAAGGAGCAGUAAAACUCAGAUGUGUAGGGAUGCCCAGAAUAGACGUUUCCACUUAGACUUAAUUCAAAACUUAUUGAAAAAUAACAGAAUCUUUCCUGACUUCACCCAGAGUCAUUCAAAUCCUCACUGGGUCCAAAUCCUGCAUGCCCUAGGGCUAUUCUGCAUGAAUACAUUAAAUCAGAACAAAA